UUAACAGAUGGGAUACAGGUCACAUAUGGGCAAAAAACAAUCGGAUUUGGGCCACAUCUGCCUGCAGUUUGAACAUAGCCUAUGAUGAAUGUGUCAUGUCC